CAAUGCUUUGGCCUCCUGAUGGAAGCUAUAUACCCUAAGAGGAAAUCUGAUGCCCAAAAUUGAAAGGGAGCCAAGUGGUAAUUCAGAGUGACUCUGGAGAGGCUUCUGUGUGUUUUGUCUAUCUCACUGGUGCUGUUUCAUUUUACUCAUAUCUUAUGAACAAGUACAUCUUAUUCUGAAGAGCAGCCCACACAGAAAAUACUUAAGUAUGGGAGAAGAUGCAGGGAAACAAAUUAAGAUGUCUCGAAGGAAAAAGUUUCAUCUUCCAUCUCACUAGAAAGAGAAGAGUUACAGACAUUAUUAUUGUUAUUUCAUGGACAGCAAGGAGAUCAAACCAGUCCAUCCUAAAGGAAAUCAACCCUGAAUAUUCAUCGGAAGGGCUGAUGCUGAAGCUGAAGCCCCAAUUCUUUGGCUACCUGAUGCAAAGAGUCUACUCAUUGUAAAAGACCCUGAUGCUGGGAAAGAUGGAAGGCAGGAGAAGAAAGGAACAACAGAGGAUGAGAUGGUUGGAUGGCAUCAUCGACUCAACAGACAUGAAUUUGAGCAAACUCUGAGAUGGUGAAGGACAGGGAAGCCUGGCAUGCUGCAGUCCAUGGGGUCACAGAGAUUCAGACAUGACUGAGUGACUGAACGACAACAACAAAAGGGAAAUUACUAUUAGUGGAUUCCUUUUAUUUAGUCCUAAUCUAAUAUUACGACCUUUUCCUCCAGGUCUAAGGCAUUUCCUCUCCCUCACCAUUUGAUAAAGCUAAUCUUUUUAUCUUUAGCAUACAAUUACAAGAGUCCUUUCUUCAUCUUGGCUGAUUUUUUUUCUCAAUUCAUCCCAGCCUCUCCUUCCCCCACCCUCUCCAUCCCCACCGUGUCUGCAAGUCGAUUUUCUGUCUGUAUCUCCAUUGCUUCCCUACAAAUAGGUUCUUCAGUUCCAUCUUUCUAAAUUCCAUAUGUUUAUGUUAAUAUACAAUAUUUGUUUUUCUUUCUGACUUACUUCACUCUGUAUAAUAGGCUCUAGGUUCCUCCACCUCAUUAGAGCUGACUCAAAUACGUUCCUUUUUAUGGCUGAGUAAUAUUCCACUGUCAGAGAAGGCAGUGGCACCCCACUCCAGUACUCUUGCCUGGAAAAUCCCAUGGAUGGAGGAGCCUGGUGGGCUGCAGUCCAUGGGGUCGCUAAGAGUUGGACAUGACUGAGCGACUUCACUUUCACUUUUCACUUUCAUGCAUUGGAGAAGGAAAUGACAAACCACUCCAGUGUUCUUGCCUGGAGAAUCCCAGGGAUGGGAGAGCCUGGUGGGCUGCUGUCUAUGGCAGCAGUCACUGACACGAAUGAAGUGACUUAGCAAUAUUCCAUUGUAUACAUAAAAUAUACAUAUAUGAAUAUUCCAUUGUACAAUAGUCCAUUGUACCACAACUUUUUAAUCCAUUCAUCUGUGAAUAGACAUCUAAGUU
rnacentral:lncRNA from 1 species